rnacentral:rRNA from 1 species
AGAAUAGGGGUGGUGCCGGAGCGGGGCGGCGGAGGAGAGUGGUGGCGCCUGAACAGAGCGGCGGUUGGGGCACCUAGAAGGGAUCUAGCUGAGACGGCGGCGGUAGUAUGACGGCGUCUCGUCUAGCUCUACGCUCUACGACCUGUGCUACGCCCUCGUCCGUAGAACUUAACCUGGCUCUAGGUCACGCAGCUGGAGUGUGUCAGAGAGGCCCUUCCUCAAGCGUCGAGCGCAUCCACAAGCCAACGACUUCCGUGGAAGUGGUGUAACAGUAAGUAAACACUCUACAAAGACAAAGAGAUACAACCGUACCUACGUAACCUAUAUCUCUAAACCUUCUAACAAUCGCCUUGUGUAUAUGUCCGUUGACGCCCCUGAUGGUUGUCCGCCGCAUGGACGAUGCACAACCACUACUCGUUCGAUCGGUUCCCCGUCGUAUCACUUAGCUACUUCUUCGACCUUAGGAUUAUCCUCCUUAUAAAAGUUGACCAAACUGCGUACAACCUCCUCCAUAAGAGCGGGUGACACCAAUAGGUCGUAAAAUCGGACAA